CGGACGGGUGAGUAAUGUCUGGGAAACUGCCUGAUGGAGGGGGAUAACUACUGGAAACGGUAGCUAAUACCGCAUAACGUCGCAAGACCAAAGAGGGGGACCUUAGGGCCUCUUGCCAUCGGAUGUGCCCAGAUGGGAUUAGCUAGUAGGUGGGGUAACGGCUCACCUAGGCGACGAUCCCUAGCUGGUCUGAGAGGAUGACCAGCCACACUGGGACUGAGACACGGUCCAG
rnacentral:rRNA from 1 species